rnacentral:rRNA from 1 species
GACGAACGCUGGCGGCGUGCUUAACACAUGCAAGUCGAACGGAAAGGCCCUGCUUUCGUGUGGUGCCCGAGUGGCGAACGGGUGAGUAACACGUGAGUAACCUGCCCUUGACUUUGGGAUAACUUCAGGAAACUGGGGCUAAUACCGGAUAGGAGCUCCUGCUGCAUGGUGGGGGUUGGAAAGUUUCGGCGGUUGGGGAUGGACUCGCGGCUUAUCAGCUUGUUGGUGGAGUAGUGGCUUACCAAGGCUUUGACGGGUAGCCGGCCUGAGAGGGUGACCGGCCACAUUGGGACUGAGAUACGGCCCAGACUCCUACGGGAGGCAGCAGUGGGGAAUAUUGCACAAUGGGCGGAAGCCUGAUGCAGAAGCGCCGCGUGCGGGAUGACGGCCUUCGGGUUGUAAACCGCUUUCGCCUGUGACGAAGCGUGAGUGACGGUAAUGGGUAAAGAAGCACCGGCUAACUACGUG